rnacentral:rRNA from 1 species
UACGAAGGGUGCAAGCGUUACUCGGAAUUACUGGGCGUAAAGCGUGCGUAGGUGGUUCGUUAAGUCUGUCGUGAAAGCCCCGGGCUCAACCUGGGAAUGGCGAUGGAUACUGGCGGGCUAGAGUGCGGUAGAGGAGAGUGGAAUUCCCGGUGUAGCAGUGAAAUGCAUAGAGAUCGGGAGGAACAUCAGUUGCGAAGGCGGCUCUCUGGACCAGCACUGACACUGAGGCACGAAAGCGUGGGGAGCAAACAGG